rnacentral:rRNA from 1 species
UCUUGCGCAAUGGGCGAAAGCCUGACGCAGCAACGCCGCGUGCGGGAUGAAGGCUUCCCGCCCCGCAAACUGCUUUUGUUAGUGAAGAAUUUGACGGUAACUAACGAAUAAGGAUCGGCUAACUCCGUGCCAGCAGCCGCGGUCAUACGGAGGAUCCAAGCGUUAUCCGGAGUGACUGGGCGUAAAGAGUUGCGUAGGUGGUUAUAUAAGUGAAUAGUGAAACCUGGUGGCUCACCCAUCCAGCCCCCCUAUUCAAACUGUAUAACUCGAGAAUGGUAGAGGUAGCUGGAAUUUCUAGUGUAGGAGUGAAAUCCGUAGAUAUUAGAAGGAACACCAAUGGCGUAGGCAGGCUACGGACCUUUCUACAUAAGGCAGAG